CUUAAUUAAUUAACAUAACUUAUGUUAAUUUUAGAGGUACAUGUAUGGUGCUUUUCAAAUUCGGCAUUCCUUGCUUUGUGGUUAAGAAAUUA